CGCGUAGGCGGUUUGUACAGUCAGACGUGAAAUUCCUGGGCUCAACCUGGGGGCUGCGUUUGAUACGUGCGAGCUUGAGUUCGGAAGAGGGUCGUGGAAUUCCCAGUGUAGAGGUGAAAUUCGUAGAUAUUGGGAAGAACACCGGUGGCGAAGGCGGCGACCUGGUCCGAUACUGACGCUGAGGCGCGAAAGCGUGGGGAGCAAACA
rnacentral:rRNA from 1 species